AAAAGAUAAGCUAAAUAAGCUCCUGGGUUCAUACCCCAUCUAUAAGGGUUAAAUCCCUUUCUUUUUA
rnacentral:tRNA from 1 species